CCUACGGGGGGCAGCAGUGGGGAAUAUUGGACAAUGGGGGCAACCCUGAUCCAGCCAUGCCGCGUGUGUGAAGAAGGCCCUCGGGUUGUAAAGCACUUUCAGUGAGGAAGAACGCCUGGUGGUUAAUACCCAGCAGGAAAGACAUCACUCACAGAAGAAGCACCGGCUAACUCCGUGCCAGCAGCCGCGGUAAUACGGAGGGUGCGAGCGUUAAUCGGAAUUACUGGGCGUAAAGCGCGCGUAGGUGGCUUGAUAAGCCGGUUGUGAAAGCCCCGGGCUCAACCUGGGAACGGCAUCCGGAACUGUCAAGCUAGAGUGCAGGAGAGGAAGGUAGAAUUCCCGGUGUAGCGGUGAAAUGCGUAGAGAUCGGGAGGAAUACCAGUGGCGAAGGCGGCCUUCUGGACUGACACUGCCACUGAGGUGCGAAAGCGUGGGUAGCAAACAGGAUUAGAUACCCCAGUAGUC
rnacentral:rRNA from 1 species